AACAGUAAAACAAAGAAGAAGCACAAAAGGAGGAAACAGUCGUCUGUUUGGAAGAAUGUAUUGUUUUUGUUUUGUUUUGUGUGUUGUUCUGUUUUCUGUUUCUC
rnacentral:ribozyme from 15 species